rnacentral:lncRNA from 1 species
GGCCCUGCCGCUUCUUCAGGAUCCUGACGUAAAGGAAAACACCUGUUCAUGAUGUGUGCAAGAAGGUAAGUUUAACGUCCAUUGAAUAAAAAACCGCAUGGGUGCAGAAAUGUUGUUAGUAGCUAUAUAUAGUGCCUUUUAGCAUUUUGGAUGUUUAAUUAGCUAGAGUACGUAUCCGUGUUAUGUGACUGCGCCUGUGCUCACAAGCUAACCUAGCUAGCUUCCGUACAACACUGAGAACGUGCUAGUUUUAAAUAAGCUUAUCUGCAAUAAAAUAUAUAUAUAUUGUAAUUUUUUAUAUUAUUUUAUAGCCGUUAAACGGCGAUCUUUGCUCAGUUAGGAGUGAGACUUUUACGUAUUUCCAAUGCGAGUUCAUCGCGCGAGCGCGGGAUUUUCAAAUUUCAAAUAACCGACAUCAGCGUUGCCCCUCGGUCGGUUUGGAUGCGACAAUGAUUUUACUAGUCAGCGGCAUUUGUUCAGGUUGGUGCAAUAUUUUCUGACAUAUACUCUCCGUCCGCAGGUGUUAGAGCAGAGAACUACUGGAAACGGAAAACAGAAGUACAGACACUUGCCCUAUUGGAAAGUGUCCCAUUCUAGAGCUGAGAAGAGACAGCAGGACAGGGAAUCAUCUGCUAGUGUCGCGUCAGAUGUCUACAUGUCCACAAGUUGUUUAAGAAAAAGUAAGAUAAGACUAUUGCAAACACAAGGCAAGAAGUUAUCAGAGAUGAACCCUUCAUCACCGAGUUCAAAACCAGAUGGCCUGCUCUCUUCUGUGUUUCUGAGAAUAAAUUUAAGAGGACUACAACAGUUUGCUGCAACAGUUCUUCUCCAUGCUGGAUGGUUAUUCUUCAGACCUGAAAACGGUGUUUGGCAAGGAAGGCGGCAUUCAAGGACAAAAGAUUAA